CUGCAAAGAGCAAGCUCUGUGAAAAGCCUCCUGCCGCUUGAUGGUAGGUAUAGAAAUGGGGAGGAUGGGAAGCACAAUUUUCUAUAUUUAUCAUUUUGUAGAGUUGGCGGAGGAAGACUGAGACAGCCGUUAUUCGUUCCUAGGAGGGUGUGAUACAUUGAAAUGAAAUGCAAACGACCCACGCUAUUCCGUAGCAGUUUCCAAUGAGCACCUAGUUUUGGACUUGGAGACCAUCAACACACGUCGAUCCAAUGGCUUCAUCGUUCAGCGUCAGCAGGUCCCAGCUCAAUUCCAAGGAGCAGAAAACUGACAGGAAAAAAAGAAGAAAAAGAGAAGAGAAA
rnacentral:sRNA from 1 species